rnacentral:rRNA from 1 species
UACGAAGGGGGCUAGCGUUGUUCGGAAUUACUGGGCGUAAAGCGCACGUAGGCGGACUAUUAAGUCAGGGGUGAAAUCCCGGGGCUCAACCCCGGAACUGCCUUUGAUACUGGUAGUCUCGAGUCCGGAAGAGGUGAGUGGAAUUCCGAGUGUAGAGGUGAAAUUCGUAGAUAUUCGGAGGAACACCAGUGGCGAAGGCGGCUCACUGGUCCGGUACUGACGCUGAGACGCGAAGGCGUGGGGAGCGAACGGG